CGCCCUAAUCCACGAAGAAGAAGGCCAUUAUUUGUAGCACAGUCACAGUGUUGGUGUAGAAUCCGCACACUGCGCACGAUGAGGCAGGCAGUUCCGCUGGAUUGUGAGAAGGCCAAGGCUCUGCUACAGUCAACAGAUACAUUCCUAUUCGACUGUGAUGGCGUCCUUUGGAACGGUGGUGACGUGAUAAAAGAUGCGAACGCCGUCGUAAACAAACUGCAAGAACUUGGAAAGAAAGUGUUUCUGGUAACGAAUAACAGUACCAAGACAAGGGACGAAUAUGUUGCCAAAUGCGCUAAGUUGGGAUUUAACUGCAAUGAGCCUCAGGUGAUCAGCACGUCCUAUCUCACGGUGCAGUACCUCAAGUCGUUACACUUUGACAAGAAGGUGUACUUGGUGGGCUCAUCUGGACUGAGUCGUGAGAUGGACGCAGCCGGCAUUCGCCACCUCGGCGAGGGCCCGGACGUCAUGGAGGGUAACGUGUUUGACGGCCGGCUGGACCACAUCCGCCUGGACCCGGAGGUGGGCGCCGUCGUGGUCGGCUUCGACAGCCACAUAUCAUUCAACAAGAUCCUGAAGGCGUCCUCAUACCUGAAGAACCCCGACGUCCUCUUCAUUGCCACGAACCGCGACGAGCGCUUCCCCAUGGAGCAUAUCGUCUGCCCAGGCACGGGCACCAUGGUGACUGCGGUGGCGGUGGCGUCCGGCCGCGAGCCCACCAUCAUGGGCAAGCCGUCGCGCGAGGUGUUCGAGGCGCUGCGCCGCCAGCACGGCCUCGACCCGGCCCGCACGGUCAUGGUAGGCGACAAGUGAGUGACGCGGUCAGCACCGGCUGAAGGCGCGCGGCGCAGCGGGCACCGGAUAAUCAGCGACGCGCUGAGAGGCUACUCAUCAUUUGCCGUCUAAAUGCAGUUCUCCUAAAAGCGACGCGACGACAAGCUGUUCAAGCCUCCCGUUGUCAAUCGCACACGUUUUAACAAACAAACAAAAAUGGAGAGGUUGACGGCCCUCAUGGACCCUUACGUCCAGCUCGCCGGUUCCUGGAUAAAGUAGGAUGCUGCAAGACGGACAUCACCAUGGGUAACGUGUGCGGUCUGCGGACGCUGGCCGUGCUGACGGGCGUGACGACGCGCGCGGACCUGGAGCGGCUGGUGGCGGACUCGGCGGCCGACGGCGCCCUGGCGCCGCAGGUGCCCGAGCUGGUGGCGCCCCAGAUCGGCGACCUGCUGCCCUUCCUCUGAUGGUCAGCGGCGGGCGAGGGGCCGCCUCUCCGGGCCGUCACAGAGGACGAGGGGGGGGGGGGGCUCUCGGCCGGGCAGCUCCGACAGCCGCUCUGCUGCACUGGGAGACGCGGCCGGGGCUCCCUCAGGGAUAGCAGUAGGUACUGCCACGCAGACGGUAACGGGAAACACUAGUCGGAAUAGAUAGCCACAUUGUUAGUAGCCAUGACGGUUCCCUGUUAAAGGAUAUAAGAAUCAAUGAUAUUAUUUUAUUCUCUUUUAGCGGCAGCCUGGGACACAGACGUACACGUCUCGCCACGGCGUUAACUCAGGACGUGUCCCCGCGAGUCCGCAAUGUUUGUCAGCAGUUCGUUUUACCGGUACUAUCUGGCGGUCCUGUGAGCUGGGCCAGCCGGCCGUUCCUAUGGAACUGGUGCUUUAGCUCCCCUGUCUCACCUACCUGGUCAUCUCAGAGUUCUGUGUUACAGGCCACAUCAUAUGCCAUUCGCCGUGUUGGUGUAACGCUUGUAUGUCUCUUACAGCUGUAAGCUCGCAAAUAAAUGUAGCAUUGACAUUUGCAUUCUA